CCUACGGGGGGCAGCAGUGGGGAAUAUUGGACAAUGGGCGAAAGCCUGAUCCAGCCAUGCCGCGUGUGUGAAGAAGGCCUUCGGGUUGUAAAGCACUUUCAGUGGGGAAGAAAGCCUUGGGGCUAAUACCCUCGAGGAAGGACAUCACCCACAGAAGAAGCACCGGCUAACUCCGUGCCAGCAGCCGCGGUAAUACGGAGGGUGCGAGCGUUAAUCGGAAUUACUGGGCGUAAAGCGCGCGUAGGCGGUCUGAUAAGCCGGUUGUGAAAGCCCCGGGCUCAACCUGGGAACGGCAUCCGGAACUGUCAGGCUAGAGUGCAGGAGAGGAAGGUAGAAUUCCCGGUGUAGCGGUGAAAUGCGUAGAGAUCGGGAGGAAUACCAGUGGCGAAGGCGGCCUUCUGGACUGACACUGACGCUGAGGUGCGAAAGCGUGGGUAGCAAACAGGAUUAGAUACCCGAGUAGU
rnacentral:rRNA from 1 species